ensembl:lncRNA
AGAGACAUCAUGCCAAUAGGUACCAGUCAUGGUGAGUAGAGACAUGUCAAUAGGUACCAGUCAUGGUGAGUAGAGACAUCAUGCCAAUAGGUACCAGUCAGGGUGAGUAGAGACAUGUCAAUAGGUACCAGUCAUGGUGAAUAGAGACAUGUCAAUAGGUACCAGUCAUGGUGAGUAGAGACCUCAUGCCAAUAGGUACCAGUCAUGGUGAGUAGAGACCUCAUGUCAAUAGGUACCAGUCAUGGUGAGUAGAGACCUCAUGUCAAUAGGUACCAGUCAUGGUGAGUAGAGACCUCAUGUCAAUAGGUACCAGUCAGGGUGAGUAGAGACCUCAUGUCAAUAGGUAGCAGUCAUGGUGAGUAGAGACCUCAUGUCAAUAGGUACCAGUCAUGGUGAGUAGAGACAUGUCAAUAGGUACCAGUCAUGGUGAGUAGAGAGAGACAUCAUGUCAAUAGGUACCAGUCAUGGUGAGUAGAGACAUCAUGCCAAUAGGUACCAGUCAGGGUGAGUAGAGACAUGUCAAUAGGUACCAGUCAUGGUGAAUAGAGACAUGUCAAUAGGUACCAG